CUUGAGACUAAGAAGAAUAAGUGCUCAUUUUCCUUCCAGAAUCUCUCGGGAACGCUGCAGUAACAUCACAGACUAUCGAACAGGUACAAGAAGCAUCAUUUUACCAGUGAUAACCUCUGAGUCAACAUUAUUAUGCACAAGAAUUUCUGCAACCAAGAAACUAAGGGCAGGUCUACACAAUGAAGCAAUGUUGAACUAAGAUCCACUAAGUCGACCCCCGGGGAUUGAUUGAUGGAGUCCCAGGAAGUGUAGACCUGCCCUCAAGAUCAACUUUGUGAAAUGCUGAGAUUUCUACAAUAAUGGGGUAAAUAUACAUCUUAGAAAAGACUUAUAGAGCAUCUUGUCUUCUAUAGUAAACUAUAGUAACUGGUCCACCCUGAAAGAAGUCUUACAGAUAAGAUUUUUGCAGAAGGCUCUUCUGGUUAUGUAAGAUGGAGAAUAAAUUAUCAGACUGGCAUGCAGACCAAAUAUCAAUUUGCCACCUGUAAAUUCCUGAGUUAUCAGAAUAGCAAAUAGGUGAACUUUUAAUAUGAAUACAGUUUGGUAUAAGUUAGGGAUGUUAAGAAGCAGGUAUUUGAAUAAUUGUGUAGCCUACAAUUUUUUUUUGACUACACAAUUAGUUGAUAAGGGCAAGCACUCAGAACCCGCUUGCGCUGAGUCUGGGAGCUACCUCCACUGCAGCUCUGCAAU